GAUGAACGCUGGCGGCGUGCCUAAUACAUGCAAGUCGAGCGAACAGACGAGGAGCUUGCUCCUCUGACGUUAGCGGCGGACGGGUGAGUAACACGUGGAUAACCUACCUAUAAGACUGGGAUAACUUCGGGAAACCGGAGCUAAUACCGGAUAAUAUAUUGAACCGCAUGGUUCAAUAGUGAAAGACGGUUUUGCUGUCACUUAGAGAUGGAUCCGCGCCGCAUUAGCUAGUUGGUAAGGUAACGGCUUACCAAGGCAACGAUGCGUAGCCGACCUGAGAGGGUGAUCGGCCACACUGGAACUGAGACACGGUCCAGACUCCUACGGGAGGCAGCAGUAGGGAAUCUUCCGCACAGGGCGAAAGCUUGACGGAGCAACGCCGCGUGAGUGAUGAAGGUCUUCGGAUCGUAAUACUCUGUUAUUAGGGAAGAACAAAUGUGUAAGUAACUAUGCACGUCUUGACGGUACCUAAUCAGAAAGCCACGGCUAACUACGUG
rnacentral:rRNA from 1 species